rnacentral:rRNA from 1 species
AACGAACGCUGGCGGCAGGCUUAACACAUGCAAGUCGAACGCCCCGCAAGGGGAGUGGCAGACGGGUGAGUAACGCGUGGGAAUCUACCUAGUUCUACGGAACAACACAGGGAAACUUGUGCUAAUACCGUAUACGCCCUACGGGGGAAAGAUUUAUCGGAAUUAGAUGAGCCCGCGUAAGAUUAGCUAGUUGGUGGGGU